rnacentral:tRNA from 1 species
GCCUGGGUGGCUCAGUCAGUUGAGCGUCAGACUUUGGCUCAGGUCGUGAUCCCGUAGUUCGUGAGUUCAAGUCUCUCAUUGGGCU